rnacentral:lncRNA from 1 species
AUGUCACACAGAUGAUAAAGAGCAAGGAUAGACCUCUUCAUUUCAUGUUUGAGGCAAUUCUCUAAGACAGCUGAUUUCUCCAGAGCUGGUAGGAGACAGACUUGCUCACGUGAUAGAUCCGGCCAUGAUAUUGUCCCUAAGAGAACGAGAUGCUCUUUGCAGAAGACAUAGAAGAUUCCUGAAACUGGGAAAGGGGCCUAGAAACCUGGAGAAGAGUGAAGAAGGCAUUUUCCCUCCCCUGCUUAGGCAUCUGCCACCAUAUUCAAUACUUUCUCCAGGGUUCUCAGGUUUCCCAUUGGCUUGGAAUUUGUCAAUUAGUUUUGCUGGCUGGACAGAAAGCCACACGGAUCCUCUU